rnacentral:tRNA from 1 species
GCCGGCGUAGCUCAGCCGGAAGAGCAGGCGACUUGUAAUCGUCAGGCCGGGGGUUCGAGUCCCCCCGCCGGCUC